GCGGGAAUGGCGGAAUUGGCAGACGCGCUAGAUUCAGGUUCUAGUGAAAGCAAUUUCAUGCAGGUUCAAGUCCUGUUUCCCGCACCA
rnacentral:tRNA from 2 species